rnacentral:tRNA from 1 species
GCCGAAGUGGUGAAAUUGGUAGACGCGCUGCGUUCAGGGCGCAGUUCUCGCAAGGGAGUGGGGGUUCGAGUCCCCCCUUCGGCA